AACUCCUCGCAGGGCUCGUUCCUCCGAGAGCAGACGCGUCAGAGUGAGUCUGGCUGGGCCUCUGGGCCUCGCCAGCCACACCUUCUUCUCUCCCUUUCAGGGCUGUUGAAACGUGCAGGGAGCGAGCUGGGGCAGGAAGGAGGCGCCCGCAGGCCACAGCAGCACCGAACGAGGUUCUCGGUGACGCUCAGGUCCCGCCAGCACCCCAGGACUGCCCUCCAGCCCCUUGCUAGGUCCUUUGGGGCUGACGUUCUUUUUUAUUAUCUGGGGGUCGAUUCUGCAAUUCUGUUUGAAGGCUGACGGUAUGUUUGCUCCCCCAAACCAUGGAACUAUUAGGUAGCAAGCUGACUAGAGGAAGUUACAGUCACUGGUGUGAACCAAUCAUUCUGAAAGUCUCUGCCUCACAGAACUUUCUCAGCCACCUGCACUUGUGGGCAAAAGAAACAGUGUGCCUUGUAAGUAGCAUUGAAGCACGGAACUGAGCCCAGAGCCCGAAAGACAAGGCUGGGAAUGCCCUCCACGGGGACCAUCCCUGCCUCACACGUUGGCAGAUCAGCUCUCUUCCAACGUCAAGAUCCGAAAAUGGUGCGAAUUUCAGGGGAGCCCUUUAGAGCAUGAACCAGGCUGUCUCAUCCUAGGGUGAUUUUAAAGGGCUUCCUGAAAACUGUCACACGUCAAAACCCUGUCAACAGGACAGGAUGUGAACAGCGUUUCCAACAAAGCCACAAACGGAAAGUCUCCAAUGUCUGUUUCAUAGCCGAGGGAAAGGAGAAAAGUUUUGAAAUGGUAACAUUCUACCAUCGCAAACGCCAGCAUUACACCGAGACCCAAGUCUCAAAGGCUAAGGGGUUUAACGUUGCAAAUAAGAGGCGGACGACAGCCCCCAGCAAACCCUCCCGGCAGCCCACCCCCCCCCGCGGCCCCCCCCCGCCCCGCAGGGUACCUUGUUCUUCCAGGAUUCCGUUGGGCACCUUCUUGUCAUUGGCGCUGACCACGGCUUUCCUCUGCUUCCUGAACCUUCGAGACACAGACUGGUUAGCCUCGGGCACAGGGAAGGCCCCCGGGACGCAGGGCUCUUGCGCAAGGAUACCCACCAGGUGAGCCUGGAGAAGCUCUUCCUGCCGCUCAUGGCUGGACCCUGCCACGCCGGCCCCGGGUCACCAGCCCCGCUCGUCCCCGGCCCCUCCGGUCCCCAGCCCUGCCGCCCUCUGCCUGGGCCCACACCCGCAGUGCGGCCUGGAGGAGAUCAUUUCCUCAUCAGAGCUGGUCGGGGCAAGUCCGCCCGCGCCCCGGGGACACUCCUACCUGAAGAAGUAGGCGGCGAGGAGGAGAGAGACGACUAACAGCAGCAGAGGCAGCAGCAGCCAGGCCAGCAGGGGCUGGGACGCGCGGGGGUCCGGAGGGCCUGCGGGCAGAGCCGGUCCCCAUCACGAUGGGACUCAGACGAAGGGGAAAAGGGGGUUUGGGCGAGGAAGGAGCCCCAGCACCAGACCACGCUUCCCCGUCGGCAAAGCAGGCCACCGCCCGGUGCCUUGUGCUCUUACCACUGAUGAGAUGAGACACGGGGGACAGAGCGUGAACUGAGGGGCCGGUGACUUUGACCCUGGGAGAUCUCGAAUGCCCCCUCCUCCAGGAAGCCCGCUUGGCUCCCCUUCUGUGGAUCCCAGAGAGUCUCUGUAUGCCUCCAAGCACAGACCCUACUCUCUCGGAAUGAACAGACCCUGGGGGCAACCGCCUUCCCUCUGAGUCAGUGGACGUUCCUCAAAGACAACAAUGGUCCUCCCAUAGCUUUGUGUCCUCCCAUAGCUGAGCCCAGUGGGGGCACCGCGGUCCUGCAGCUUCCCUCCCCUGGUACCCCGUCCUCGUGUAUCCUAAAGGUCCCUCCCCACCCCCAUCCAGGUUGUAAGCAACUCCCCCCUCCGGGGCCUCACACUGGCUCUGGCACCCAUCAGUGGCCAAGGCACGUAUUUCUAAUAAAUGCCAGUUUUUACUGA